GGUGAGAUGGCCGAGUUGGUUAUGGCGCCAGGUUAAGGUUUCCCUUGACACUAUAUUCCUGGUCACGAAAGUGGCGUGGGUUCGAGUCCCACUCUCAUCA
rnacentral:tRNA from 1 species